AGUGAACGCUGGCGGUAGGCCUAACACAUGCAAGUCGAACGGCAGCACAGUAAGAGCUUGCUCUUACGGGUGGCGAGUGGCGGACGGGUGAGGAAUACAUCGGAAUCUACUUUUUCGUGGGGGAUAACGUAGGGAAACUUACGCUAAUACCGCAUACGACCUACGGGUGAAAGCAUGGGAUCUUCGGACCUUGCGCGAUUGAAUGAGCCGAUGUCGGAUUAGCUAGUUGGCGGGGUAAAGGCCCACCAAGGCGACGAUCCGUAGCUGGUCUGAGAGGAUGAUCUGCCACACUGGAACUGAGACACGGUCCAGACUCCUACGGGAGGCAGCAGUGGGGAAUAUUGGACAAUGGGCGCAAGCCUGAUCCAGCCAUACCGCGUGGGUGAAGAAGGCCUUCGGGUUGUAAAGCCCUUUUGUUGGGAAAGAAAAGCAGCAGGUUAAUACCCCGCUGUUCUGACGGUACCCAAAGAAUAAGCACCGGCUAACUUCGUG
rnacentral:rRNA from 1 species